CCCUAGAUGGGUGUCUAGCAUUCUCCCUAUCCAGUAAGUGAAUUUGUCCCUCCAGUUCUACCAAUUCUCUUCUGUUUUGCCUACUCCUGGCAGUCUGAAAGGAGAUGAUACAGCCUCUCAAAUAAUCCUUCAGCAUUUCCCACAGUAAUUCUGGGGAAGUCUCUGUGUUGUCGUUGGUAUCAAAGAAAAAUGUAUUUUGGUCUUUAAGAUGUUCACAGAAUGUUGGUUCUGUGAGGAGCUGAGGAUUCAACCUCCAGACCCUCUCGUUUGGUACGAUGUCACCCAAUCUCAGGGAGAAGGUAUUCAAGAAUUCGCUUGAAUAGGAGGUAGGGGUUCGCCGGGUAGAGGAUCUAUCCAAAUAUUGGUCUAGUACACAGUUGACGUCCCCUCCAAUGACCAGGUUAGUAUGGGAGAUAUCUGGAAUCAGGGCAAGGACUCUUUUGAAAAAAGAGGGGUUAUCAAUGUUUGGCCCAUAGAUAUUUAGUAGAGUUACAGAAGUAGAGUGGAUCUCUCCUAUUACGAUCACAUAACGACCCUCUUUGUCCACAAUAGUGGUUUUAUGUUGAAAGGGAAUUCCUUUCCGUACCAGAAUCGCUGUGCCUCUCGUUUUGGCAGAGAAGUUAGAGUGAUACACUUGCCCCACCCACUUACAUUUAAGUCUGCUAUGAGAAUUGUUUUUCAGAUGGGUUUCUUGCAAAAAUAUAAUAUCAGACGAGAGUGCUUUCAAGUGGGCUAGGACCUUGCCUCUCUUAAUUGGUUCAUUUAAACCCUUGACAUUCCAGGAAGUGAAUGUAAGCCCCGCCCUCCUCUCAUUUGUAGUUCCUAUGGUGGCCUGCAUAGCAUGUAAGUUACUAAAAAGGUAAGAAAGCGCACCAAAUCAUCACGAUCAGCAUAUGUAGCACCUACACCCGAGCAGUAUCCAACCCACCCCUCCCCCCCUGCAAGCACCUUUACUCUCCACCCUGUUCCCCUACUUUCCCCAACAUUUACCCCUCCCAUCAACCCACAUUUAACACAU